rnacentral:sRNA from 1 species
UGAAUGAUCCUUUGCUGCCUAACUACCUCAACGGCUUCGAGUGUUUCGUCUGUGACUACGAACUGGCUCGGCUGGAUGCCGAGAAAGCCCACGCGGCCUCUCCCGGGGACAGCCCCGUCUUUGAGCCCCACAUUGCCCAGCCCUCACACAUGGACUGCCCAGUGCCCACCCCUGGCUUUGGCAAUGUGGAAGAGAUUCCUGAGAAUGACAGAAAAGAACAAGAGGGAAAACAGACCUUCAGGCUGGGUGCAGUGGCUCAUGCCUGUGAUCCCAGCACUUUGGGAGGCCAAGGUAGGAGGAUCGCUUGAGCCCAGGGAUUCAAGACUAGCUUGGGUAACAUGGCAAAACCCCAUCUCUACAAAAAACAGAAAAAAUUAGCUGGGCAUGGUGUGUGUGCCUUGUAGAUCCAGCUACUUGGGAGGCCGAAGUGGGAGGAUCGCCACUGCACUCCAGAAACUAAAAAAAAAAAAAAAAAAAAAAAACCUUCAAAAAUAUAUCUAAGCCAGAUGUGAUGGCAUGGGUCUGCAGUCCCAGCUACUCAGAAGGCUAAGGCAGGAAGAUCGCUUGAGCCCAAGAGUUUGAGGCUGUAGUAUGCUGUGAGUGCGCCUAUGAGUACCAACUGGGCAACACAGUGAGACCCCUGUCUAAAAAAAAAAAAAAAAUCUGUUGGGCUGGGUGAGCUGGCUCACGCCUGUAAUCCCAGCACUCUGGGAGGCCAAGGCAGGCAGACCACCUGAAGUCGGGAGUUCAAGACCAGCCUGACCAACAUGGAGAAACCUCAUCUCUACUAAAAAUACAAAAUUAGCUGGGCGUGGUGGCGCAUGACUAUAAUCCCAGCUACUCAGGAGGCUGAGGCAGAAGAAUCGCUUGAACCCAGGAGGCGGAGGUGGUGGUGAACCAAGAUCACGCCAUUGCACUCCAGCCUGGACAACAAGAGCAAAACUCCAUUUCAAAAAAAAAAAAAAAAUCUGUUAAAAUUUGAUAUAGUAGGCACUGACAAAAGAGGUCAAAUGCAGGACUGAUUUCUAAGCUUGCAGUCUAUCUAAAUGCAGAUGCUAAUUUAGAGUGCAUAAUUAUUACACAAGUACAGACCUAGGUUAGGGCUUAAAUUUCAUUAUGUGCAAUAAAAAGGUUAAGUGAUGGUUAAGCAAGGUGUAGAUUAUCCUUACCUCUCCUAAUGACAUGAGCUCACAUUGGCAUUCCUUUCAUACUUUUACGUAUAAAGUGGGCAGUUGUUUCUGAAUGACUGUUGCUGGAGCCUCAGGCCUGCUUUGUGCUUGGUGCUUUCCAGACUUUCUCCUUUAUUCCUAUCACCAUAUACGUACUCACAAAAGAGCAGUGUAAACCAGGUGUUACAUUUCCACAAGGGAAAGUAGAACCAGGAAUAGCCACAUGAUACUUACCGAAAGCUUCACUUUCCCUAUAGAGAAAGCAAGCAACAUGAAUCUUCUGAUUUGGGGCCCAGCCUGCUGCUGUAUACAGAGGUUGGCGUUAUUGGUGAUAGAAAUGUCUGAUAGGAGUCUUUUAAUUAUACUCUGGAGUGUGGAGGUGGAGUGCAAGGCUGCUUCCUUUAUUACUGCAAGUGUUAUUUUCUAUUAUCUCAGGUUUCGUUUUGUGUAAUAAACUGCUUCUUGUUAAG